UCCUUUGGCGUCGAGCGGCGGAGGGUGAGUAAUGCUUGGGAAUGUGCCUUAUGGUGGGGGACAACAGUUGGAAACGACUGCUAAUACCGCAUAAUGUCUUCGGACCAAAGUGGGGGACCUUCGGGCCUCACGCCAUAAGAUCAGCCCAAGUGGGAUUAGCUAGUUGGUAAGGUAAUGGCUUACCAAGGCGACGAUCCCUAGCUGGUUUGAGAGGAUGAUCAGCCACACUGGGACUGAGACACGGCCCAGACUCCUACGGGAGGCAGCAGUGGGGAAUAUUGCACAAUGGGCGCAAGCCUGAUGCAGCCAUGCCGCGUGUGUGAAGAAGGCCUUCGGGUUGUAAAGCACUUUCAGUAAGGAGGAAAGGUUAAGUGUUAAUAGCACUUAGCUGUGACGUUACUUACAGAAGAAGCACCGGCUAACUCCGUGCCAGCAGCCGCGGUAAUACGGAGGGUGCGAGCGUUAAUCGGAAUUACUGGGCGUAAAGCGUACGCAGGCGGUUUGUUAAGCGAGAUGUGAAAGCCCUGGGCUCAACCUGGGAACUGCAUUUCGAACUGGCAAACUAGAGUGUGAUAGAGGGUGGUAGAAUUUCAGGUGUAGCGGUGAAAUGCGUAGAGAUCUGAAGGAAUACCGAUGGCGAAGGCAGCCACCUGGGUCAACACUGACGCUCAUGUACGAAAGCGUGGGGGAGCACACAGGAUUA
rnacentral:rRNA from 1 species